rnacentral:rRNA from 1 species
AUUGAACGCUGGCGGCAUGCCUUACACAUGCAAGUCGAACGGUAACGCGGGGCAACCUGGCGACGAGUGGCGAACGGGUGAGUAAUAUAUCGGAACGUGCCCAGUAGUGGGGGAUAGCCCGGCGAAAGCCGGAUUAAUACCGCAUGAGACCUGAGGGUGAAAGCGGGGGAUCGCAAGACCUCGCGCUAUUGGAGCGGCCGAUAUCAGAUUAGCUAGUUGGUGGGGUAAAGGCCUACCAAGGCAACGAUCUGUAGUUGGUCUGAGAGGACGACCAGCCACACUGGGACUGAGACACGGACCAGACUCCGACGGGAGGCAGCAGUGGGGAAUUUUGGACAAUGGGCGCAAGCCUGAUCCAGCAAUGCCGCGUGCAGGAAGAAGGCCUUCGGGUUGUAAAGCUCUUUUGUUUGGGAGCAAAUCCUGCCGGAUAAUACCUGGCGGGGAUGAGAGUACCAAAAGAAUAAGCACCGGCUAACUACGUGCCAGCCGCCGCAGUAACAC